UUUGAAUUGCCUUCUUCCCCUCUGAAGUCCCAAACCACUAUCUGCAACAUUUUCUUUUGCCUUUAGCCAAAGAUGAUAUUUAAGUUCCAGAAAGGCCCAUUGCUCACUAGGCUGGUAGCCAUCCUGCUCCAGUUGCUAGCUCCCACCUUUCCAGAUGAAUUGCCUUGGAGGAAUCUCAACAAACCUACAGGUGCUAUUGUUUUUGCAUUCAGUCUCCAAGGGCUAAUCCACUUUCAUAGUCCCUCUUAAACUACCACCAGAAUUAGAGAAGAUGAAAGAUCAUAGAAAAGAAACAAGCAGGAAAGACAGUUCAUUUGCCAAGCACUUCUGGUCUUAACUCUGAAAAUACAUCAGUACAGAACAUCAAAGUACAACCUAAAUUUAAUACAGCCACAUGAUGUGACCUUAACAAAAUGACAAAUGAAACCCUAACUCCAUGACUAGCCUAACUUUUAGAAAGAAAUAAAAUGCAAUGGGAAAUUAACUGUUGUUUUCUUGGAAUCGUUAAAAGAAAGCACUUACAUUUUUCAAAAGAAUAGUGUUCUAUAAAACCAAGAGGAGCCUCCUAAAACAAUAAAUUAAUUGAAGUGAAAAGUUUAAGUAUUUAAUAGUCUCUUUUUGCAUGGAAAUAUGGUUUGUAUUAGGCUUUGGAGGGAAAAGGUGAUUGUAUCUGUAAUUUUUCACCAAUACUUUCUGAUAAUUUUCCAAAGGCAUUGAAAGUUAUUUUACUUCCAUAGAAACUGUCUUCAACAUGUUUGACCACAUGUAGUUUCUCCUGAAAUGUAACAUGAUUACAUAGCUUGUCCUAUGUGUUAAUUCAUUUAUCUUCAGAUAGACACAUUCUAUUAGAUGAAGCAAAUCAGACCAAAGUGAAAGGCAAUUGUCAGACAGAAAAUAGUUUAUGGAAUUAUCAUUUGACCACUUUCCACCUAUUUAUUAUAAUUUUUAACUUAUGGAAAAAUAUAAGCCUCUGUAGAAGUCAUAACA